ACGGGAGGCAGCAGUGGGGAAUAUUGCACAAUGGGCGAAAGCCUGAUGCAGCGACGCCGCGUGAGUGAAGAAGUAUUUCGGUAUGUAAAGCUCUAUCAGCAGGGAAGAAAAAUGACGGUACCUGACUAAGAAGCGCCGGCUAAAUACGUGCCAGCAGCCGCGGUAAUACGUAUGGUGCAAGCGUUAUCCGGAUUUACUGGGUGUAAAGGGAGCGCAGGCGGUACGGCAAGUCUGAUGUGAAAGCCCGGGGCUCAACCCCGGUACUGCAUUGGAAACUGUCGAACUAGGGUGUCGGAGGGGUAAGCGGAAUUCCUAGUGUAGCGGUGAAAUGCGUAGAUAUUAGGAGGAACACCAGUGGCGAAGGCGGCUUACUGGACGAUAACUGACGCUGAGGCUCGAAAGCGUGGGGAGCAAACAGGAUUAGAUACCCUGGUA
rnacentral:rRNA from 1 species